GAGCUAAUACAUGCUAACAGGCUCGACCUUACGGAAGAGGUGCUUUUAUUAGAUCAAAACCAAACGGCUUCGGCUGUACUCUUGGUGACUCUGAAUAACUUUGGGCUGAUCGCAUAGCCUUGCGCUGGCGACAUAUCCUUCGAAGGUGUGCCCUAUCAACUGUCGACUGUGGCAUAGACGCCCACAGUGGUUUUGACGGGUAACGGGGAAUCAGGGUUCGAUUCCGGAGAGGGAGCCUUAAAAACGGCUACCACAUCUAAGGAAGGCAGCAGGCACGCAAAUUACCCAAUGACCGAAGGUCGAGGUAGUGACGAAAAAUAACGAUAGCGGACUCUUCCGAGGCCCGCUAAUUGGAAUGAGUACACUUUAAAACCGUCCCCGAGGAUCUAUUGGAGGGCAAGUCUGGUGCCAGCAGCCGCGGUAAUUCCAGCUCCAAUAGCGUAUAUUAAAGUUGUUGUGGUUAAAAAGCUCGUAGUUGGAUCUCAACGGCCUUGGAGCGGUUAUCAUGCUUGAUAGACUGCUCUGUAGGCCGUGCUUUUGCUGGAGGUUUAGGGGUGCUCUUAAUCGAGUGUCUCUGGAUGCCAGCAGGUUUACUUUGAAAAAAUUAGAGUGCUCAAAGCGGGCUGUUACGCCUGAAUAUUCGUGCAUGGAAUAAUAGAAUAGGAUGUCGAUCCUAUUUUGUUGGUUUUCGGGACUCGACAUAAUGAUUAAUAGGGACAGUCGGGGGCAUUUGUAUUCAAACGACAGAGGUGAAAUUCUUGGACCGUUUGAAGACAAACUACA
rnacentral:rRNA from 1 species